rnacentral:lncRNA from 1 species
UCCAGCGGCUCGACGGCGCCUCGCCCAGAUCUGGCAGCACCCCAAUGCUUCAUGUUGCUAGUUUGGCGAGCCACCACCAGCCGUAUCGGAUAUCUGCCUCCUCAUAUCGUCGUUGCCGGUGUCUGUUGACGCCCUGCCGGUCUCUUCUUUCUCCAACGGUGGGUCUUCUUGUAUUCUUUGUGAUGUUGUCUUACCUUUCCCUGUCUUCUUCUUCGUCCAAGUCUUCAGAUUUCAUGGCCAGUGGCAAUACCUAACUUCCGUCGAGCACAUUAUCUUCAAGCUGGAAUUGAGCAGUGCAAGGCUUUGCAUGCUGUUAAUUCAUUUUAUUUUAUUUUAUUUCAUUUAUCGAUCUUGUGUUGAACAUAGCCGCAAGAUUUUGUUUCGUAUAUGUCAUUUGAGUACUCGGUUUCUUUUUACGACCCAACGUCAUAUGUUUUUUUUUACCAAAAGCCAAAAGCUAACAUGUUUGUUUGGAAAGGGAUUAUGUUUUUUAGCAGCAACAACAUCACUUCACUUGUUUUUUUUCCAACAUAGCACGUAACAUGUUUAGAACGUACUAAGGUGGCCUAACAUAUGUAACAUUUCUUUAGGACCCUCAAUCUCACAUCCAACGACUAAAAAUUAUUGGGGUGAUGUGGAUCAACGUGGAGGCUCCCUUUUUUUUUUCCGAAAAGGAGGACAUCCCCCGGCCACUGCAUCGACCGAUGCACACAGCCAUAAAUUAUUAAAAGUAUUCAAAGUACAUGUCUCAGAGUUACACAAGAUAAUGAAAAAAGAAUGAAAGGAAAACAUCAAUAUCCUUCCAGCCUAAAACCUGCGCGCCAUCCAAACCGGCU